AGCGAACGCUGGCGGCAGGCUUAACACAUGCAAGUCGAGCGGGCAUCCUUGUGGUGUCAGCGGCAGACGGGUGAGUAACGCGUGGGAACGUGCCCUUCGGUUCGGAAUAACUCAGGGAAACUUGAGCUAAUACCGGAUACGUGCGAGAGCAGAAAGGUUUAUCUGCCGAAGGAUCGGCCCGCGUCUGAUUAGCUAGUUGGUGAGGUUACGGCUCACCAAGGCGACGAUCAGUAGCUGGUCUGAGAGGAUGAUCAGCCACACUGGGACUGAGACACGGCCCAGACUCCUACGGGAGGCAGCAGUGGGUAAUAUUGGACAAUGGGGGCAACCCUGAUCCAGCCAUGCCGCGUGAGUGAUGACGGCCUUAGGGUUGUAAAGCUCUUUUCUCCGGGACGAUAAUGACGGUACCGGAGGAAUAAGCCCCGGCUAACUUCGUG
rnacentral:rRNA from 1 species